rnacentral:rRNA from 1 species
UACGGAGGAUGCAGGCGUUAUCCGGAAUUAUUGGGCGUAAAGCGUCCGCAGGUGGCACUUCAAGUCUGCUGUCAAAGACCGGGGCUUAACCCUGGAAAGGCAGUGGAAACUGAAGCGCUAGAGUGUGGCAGGGGUAGAGGGAAUUCCCGGUGUAGCGGUGAAAUGCGCAGAUAUUGGGAAGAACACCAGUGGCGAAGGCGGUUCUCUGGGACGGUACUGACGCUGAGACGCGAAAGCGUGGGGAGCGAACAGG